rnacentral:rRNA from 1 species
AGGGCACACGGGGGAUGCCUUGGCAUUCGUCGGCGAAGAAGGACGCGAUAAGCUGCGAAAAGCUCCGGUUAGGCGCACAUGGCCAUUUGACCCGGAGGUCUCCGAAUGGGAAAACCCAGCCAGGUUUACCUGGUUACCCUUUUACUGAAUUCAUAGGUUUGAGGGAGCGAACGGACCGAACUGAAACAUCUCAGUAGGUCUAGGAAAAGAAAUCAACCGAGAUUCUCCUAGUAGUGGCGAGCGAACGGGGAAGAGCCUAAACCAAAGGGUCAAACCUUUGGGGUUACAGGGCCUCAAUAUGAGAGCGAUUAGCUUAGACGAAGCGGUUUGGAAAAACCCGCCAUAGACGGUUAUAGCCCGGUAGUCGAAAAGCGAAGCGCCUCUAGAGGUACCCUAAGUAGGGCGGGGCACGUGAAACCCUGUCUGAAGUCGGGAGGACCACCUUCCAAGGCUAAAUACGAACGAAUGACCGAUAGUGAAGCAGUACCGUGAGGGAAAGGUGAAAAGCACCCCGGAAGGGGAGUGAAAUAGAACCUGAAACCGUGUGCCUACAAGCGGUUGAAGGGGGGGCUUGCCCUCCUAACAGCGUGCCUUUUGUUUAAUGAGCCAGCGAGUUACUCGUCUGUAGCCAGGUUAAGGUCUUAAGGACCGGAGCCGUAGGGAAACCAAGUGUUAAUAGCGCGACCAUAGUUACAGGCGGUAGACACGAAACCCGGCGAUCUAGCCAUGACCAGGUUGAAGCGUGGGUAAUACCACGUGGAGGACCGAACUGAUUUGUGUUGAAAAACGAUCGGAUGAGUUGUGGCUGGGGGUGAAAGGCCAAUCAAGCUGGGUGAUAGCUUGUUCUCCCCGAAAUAUAUUUAGGUAUAGCGUCGAGCUAAUAGUGGAGUGGAGGUAGAGCACUGAAUGGACUAGGGGGCAUACCCGCUUACCAAACCCAAACAAACUCCGAAUGCCAUUUCCAUGUUUCUCGGCAGUCAGACAGUGUGAGAUAAGUUUCAUUGUCAAAAGGGGAACAUCCCGGACCAUCUGCUAAGGUCCCCAAUUCAUAUCUCAGUGAGAAAGGAUGUGGAAUUACUUAGACAACCAGGAGGUUAGCUUAGAAGCAGCUAUCCUUUAAAGAAAGCGUAAUAGCUCACUGGUCAAGUGAUUCUGCGCCGAAAAUUAGAUGGGACUCAAGAUAUGAACCGAAGCAGUGGGUGAAUACCAUUAGGUAUCCGCGGUAGGGGAGCGUUCGCUAAGCCUGAGAAGGUCUCUUGUAAGAGGGGCUGGAGGUAUGCGAAAUGAGAAUGCUGGCAUGAGUAGUGAAAAGGCGUGUGAGAAUCACGCCCACCGUAAGUCUAAGAUUUCCUGGGUAAAGUUCGUCUUCCCAGGGUUAGUCGGUCCCUAAGUCGAGGCCAAAUGGCGUAGACGAUGGAAACAGGGUCAACAUUCCCUGACCGGAACAAACGCGUUAUCACCGAAGGGGGGACGCAGAGAAUAGAAGCAUCAGCCUAUUGGAUGGCUGUCGGCACAGGUAGGAGGUAAGGUAGGCAAAUCCGCCUUACGCUACUCCGAGACGCGCCGGGACGUGCGACCCUCACGGGUCAAUCUCACUGCUUCGAAGGGCUGCCAAGAAAAGCCUCUAAGGGAGUUUUUGUUUCGACCGUAUCACAAUCCGACACAGGUAGACAAGGCGAAUAGCCUAAGGUGCGCGAGAGAAUUAUGGAAAAGGAACUCGGCAAACUAGCCCCGUAACUUCGGGAGAAGGGGUGCCCUACUCGGUUAGGACGUACAGUCCAAAGCCUUGGAGGGUCUCAGUAAAUGGGCCCAAGCGACUGUUUACCAAAAACACAGGUCAACGCAAACUCGCAAGAGGAAGUAUGUUGACUGACACGUGCCCGGUGCUGGAAGGUUAACAGGAGAUGUCAAUGGGGGUAACCCUGUGAAGCAUUGAAUCGAAGCCCCAGUAAACGGCGGCCGUAACUAUAACGGGCCUAAGGUAGCGAAAUUCCUUGUCGGGUAAGUUCCGACCUGCACGAAUCGUGUAACGACUUGGGCGCUGUCUCCUCCAUAAGCUCGACGAAAUUGCAGUAUUGGUGAAGAUGCCAAUUCCCCGUACCUGGACAGAAAGACCCCAUGAACCUUGACUGUAUCUUGGCAGUGGUUUUAGGUUGCGCAUGUGUAGGAUAGCUGGGAGGCUUUGAGACGGUGCCGCUAGGUAUCGUGGAGCCGCCGUUGAAAUACCAGCCUUGUGUAAUUUGAAAUCUAACCUAGGCCCCUGAAUCGGGGCUGGGGACACUGCCUGGUGGUCAGUUUGACUGGGGCGGUCGCCUCCUAAAGUGUAACGGAGGCAUCCCAAGGUUCCCUCAGCGCGGUCGGUAAUCGCGCGUAGAGUGUAAAAGCAUAAGGGAGCUUAACUGCGAGACUGACGGGUCAAGCAGAUACGAAAGUAGGGUUUAGUGAUCCCGCGGACUAGCGUGGAAUUGCCGUUGCUCAAUGGAUAAAAGGUACUCUGGGGAUAACAGGCUGAUCUCCCCCAAGCGUUCACAGCGACGGGGAGGUUUGGCACCUCGAUGUCGGCUCGUCGCAUCCUGGGGCUGUAGAAGGUCCCAAGGGUUUGGCUGUUCGCCAAUUAAAGCGGCACGCGAGCUGGGUUCAGAACGUCGUGAGACAGUUCGGUCCCUAUCCGGUACGGGCGUUGGAUGUUUGCAGGAAGCUGACCCUAGUACGAGAGGACCGGGUCGGACGAACCGCUGGUGUAUCCAUUGUUCCGCCAGGAGCAACGUGGAGUAGCCAAGUUCGGACAGGAUAAACGCUGAAAGCAUCUAAGCGUGAAGCCCCUCCUAAGAAGAGACAUCCCGUGGGCGUAAGCCCCCAAAAGACCCGAUGUAGACUACGUCGUUGA